rnacentral:rRNA from 1 species
AUGCAACGGAUAAUUUUGAUGAAAAACAUUGCAUUGGAGAGGGGGGGGUUUGGUAAUGUCUACAAGGUGGAUCUCCCAGAUGGACAAGUGGUUGCAGUGAAGAAGCUUCAUCCUAUUGAGGAAGGGAUGCAUGAUGAGCAAUGCUUUCGUCGUGAGAUUGAAGUACUAACAAAAGUCCGUCAGCGCAGCAUUGUCAAGCUGUAUGGAUUCUGUUCCCAUACGCAGUACAGGUUCCUGGUUUGCCAAUACAUAGAAAGGGGGAGUCUAGCCUCAAUCCUGAACAACAAUGACCAAGCAAUCCAAGUUGAUUGGCAGAAAAGAGCAAUUCUCAUCAAGGAUGUUGUGCAAGCUAUUUCCUACCUACACCAUGGCUGUGAUCCACCUAUAAUCCAUCGGGACAUAACGAGUAGCAACAUUUUGCUAGAUUCUGAAUACAAGGCCUUUGUCUCGGACUUUGGCACGGCAAGGAUAUUGAAGCCCGAUUCAUCGAACUGGACCGCGCUGGCGGGGACAUACGGCUACAUCGCACCUGAACUUUCUUACACGCCCUUGGUCACGGAGAAAUGCGAUGUCUACAGCCUCGGCGUUGUGAUGCUGGAGGUGCUGAUGGGGAAGCAUCCAGGAGAAUUACUAAACAGACCUGCAGCUGCGCAAGAACAAGACAUGAUACUUCAAGAGCAUCUCGACCGCCGUCUUCCCACGCCCAAGACCGACGAGGCGCAGGAUAUCAAUCGGCUAAUAUCGGUGGCGUUUCAGUGCCUACAAGAUUCCCCUCAUGAGAGGCCAGACACGCAGCAGAUCCAUCGAGCUCUCGGUGUAUGA